AAAAGGCACAGAUGUCAUGCUGAUAAAGCAAUUUGAAUUAUUUUCAAACAAACCGUGUCAGUGAUAAAGUACAAGUGAAACAUGCUCUAACGUCCAGCGUGGGCUCUCACAUAUGUAGGUUGCAGCUGGCGGGCCCACACGCGGUGGGCGACAGGGCGAGCUGUCAAUAAUCACCUACCCACGGGCUCGCAACCUGAGUAUUGCAGGGGUCGGGCCCUCCCUCGCAGUGACGCAUGCAGAAACGACCAAGGAAAUCCCCAAGUGAGAGUUACGACAGACUCUCGGGGCAACUUCCGACUCGCGCUGAACACCGCGUACAAAUCCACAUGGAAGACAAAUGCGUGUAAACCGAGUCCAAGCUCCGGACAACUACAAGGUGUUGUAAACACUGCUUUUGGAUCAGUUUAGGUGACUAACAUUUUGUCGGCGUCGCGGAAGUGCAUACAUUAGACAACCAACGACUUGCGGUUGUUUUUUUUAUGAAUACACAUAGCGAAGUACAGCAGCAGGAGGACAUGUACGGCAUGGCAGAAAUGCCCGACCUCAUACCACCGGCAGGUGCAUUACAACCCAGUCCAGUAAUCCCGUACGACCGCGGACAGGCGGGGAGAAACAGACCAGACCUGUCUGCCCCAGGAAGAAUGCAGCGAGCCCCCAAACUCGGACAGAUCGGGCGGUCUACGAGAGUGGUUAUUGAUGAUGAGGACUUGGAAGAUAUCAUAAACAAUAACAGAAGCUUCCCGGUUUCUCAGAGAGUAUCACCUGUUGCCUGAUGCAUGACUGACUGUGCCAAAGCUGUUAUAAGGCCAACACACCAAAGCAGGCCUAGAGAAUUGAACUAAAAUCUCCCUCUCACAUGUUGCCGUCACCCUUCACUGUACAGCUUUUAAGGCUUUGACUACUUCAAGGUCAAACGAGAGAACUGUGGACUUUGCUUUCUGGUCACUUAAUGCUUGCCCAUCACUUUACUGAUGUCGUGCUUCUGUAGCACUAAAUGAUCCUGUCUGGUGUUCUCGGUUUUGGAAGUUUCUUUCUUGAAGUGAAGAUCUUGAUGAUCUCUAAUGCAGCAGGGCUAUAUUUAUUAAAUUUGCACUUUACUGCAGAAUAAGAAAGCUAACCUCAGCAGGUCAUAUUACUCAUCUCCAAAGAGCACAUUUUCCUGUGAAUCUCUGUUAACAUGUAACAUGCCAUUUGGUAAGACCUUUGGUUACCUUGGUAACCAGGGCCUUCAUGUCAUGAAAUUUCUCUGAAUGACAUCGAUUACUUGUUAAUUGUAAGAAUCUUUUAUUCGGUCACUGUUUUUAUGUGCCUGUUGAUUUUAGUUUGAAUUAAAAUAAGUACAAUCUCAAAUGCAUACUGACUGAGAUGAAAAAUCAAAUCUUUUAAAGUGAUCUCAGAUGUUGGUUGAAGUACAUUGCUCUUAAUUUUUUUGACUUCUAAAUGUUUGCAUGGAAAUUAAUGGAUUUUUGUAAAUUGUUUUGGGGGAGUGCAGUGGGGUGGGAGUAAUAAAGUAUGCAUGAGUAACAUUUUUGCAUUUGUUAAUGUUUGGAUACAAGCGAUUUGUAAUUAUUAUUUUUUUUUCAAUCAAAAAAUGAACACAUUUCAGGACAUUGCAGGAUGGU
rnacentral:lncRNA from 1 species